AAUUCUAGCCUUACUCAGGGAAUUACUAGUAUAGUUUCCCAACAUCCGCACAUUAUAUUCGACUAGAACCAGCCUAGCUGGAUCCAAACUCUGCCUUCUUAACUUCAGCUUUACAUAAACAAGCUGAAUGGAAGGUAGCAGGCAACUAUAGACCAGUAAGUUUAAUGUGCAUUGUGUGCAAAGUAUUGGAAAGCAUAGAGAGUUAGAGAGGGAAUGAUUUUAAACACAUGAAAAUUAAUAUCUUGUUCAGUGAAAAACAAUUUGGAUUUAUUCCUCAGCUUUCCACAGUGUUGCAGCUACUAGAGGCAGUUGAUAAGUGGACUGACAGUUUAGAUGCAGGGAAUGAGAUUGAUGUUGCCUGUUGUGACUUUAUGAAGGCGUUCGAUAAUUGUCUGAUGGCCUGUUCGUACGGGAAGUCUUGGGCAUCAGGACCAAUAGCAAGUUUCAUCAGUGUCCAAGUUGGCAGGAGUCAGUGCUGUGCGAGAUUUUACCUUUAUCCUGUUUGGUAAACUAAAUCCACGCUCACAUACAACACUACUAAUUGGUAUGCACAGGGCAAUAUUCAUGAGCUGGGAGAUGAGUGGAUAUUCUUCCUUGUGACGUCGAAGGAAUACUCUUGUAAACUCCUUGAAGUCCUUCAUCGUGUAAGUCCCGCACAUGAGUGGUUUUACACCACUGAACUCUCUGGAGAGUGCCUGAAUGUCUAUGCCGUACUUUGAUUCAAGCAUUUUUAGAUGCUCUGCAGAAUCCGACUCAGAGAAUGUAUCUACAGUCUUUGGUUCAAGCACACCAAAGGCAUUUAAUAUUGGUGUGGUGUCACUUUUCAACCUGUUAUUCAGGUUUUCUGUAGCACUGUCUGUGUAGUCUUUCUUCAUCUUGUCCAUGUGGCUUUUUUCAUUUGAAUGUGACAGUUGAAUGCCUUUGUAAAAAACCUUGGUGCCAGUGUUUGAGAGUCCAGACAGAAAAUCCACUGUAUUGCUGCCGAGCACAUUAUUCAACCCUUGCAGUUUACCAAUCGCACUCUCCCGCAUAGCAUCAAGCUGGCUUAAAUCCAGAGAGUCUGCCUGAAGCUGGCGAUACAGUGUCCCUACAAUGGACAGAACUUCACACAAUAAUGCAGGAAAUGCAGGAAAAUUAUAAUGGAGCACCGCCUUCGGCAGGCCAUCUGCAAUGUUGUCCCCUAUGGUGUUUUUGCCCUCGUUUGACUGCAGGUAGGCCACAAUGGAACCAUAGCACCGGUGUAUAACUGACAUUGCGCUUUCCACUGCAAACCAUCGUAUACUGAUGGGGUCUUGUAACUUUAGGUUUGGUUCCUGUAUAACCUCUUGCAAAGCUUCAAGCUUGUAUGUACGCCCCCUGAUCCGUUUACAAGAACACACAGAUUGCGGAGCGUGUCUCUGUAUGUCCUCAAUUACGGAAUGUAUUUUGAUACCUGUAUGCUGACGACACGAAAAUCUUCAGAAAAUUUUUUAAUACCGAAGACUGUUUGAAAUUACAGAAGUAGAUUCAUUGUAUGCAAGACUGGUCUGAAAAAUGGUUAUUGAAGUUCCAUCCUCAAAAAUGUAAAUGUAUGACAAUUAGCACAAAAUAAAGCACUACAAACUUCAAAUAUACUUUAAAAACUGGAAUAGAGCCUAUGGAAAAUCUUAAUCAGAAAAGGACAUUGGGAUUAUAAUCGAUAAUAAACUGUAUUUUAAAGAACAGAUACUAGAGAAAGUGAACAAGGCUAACUCAGUACGGGGGGUCAUACGCAGAUCUUUUGAAUAUGUUGAUAGAGAAACAUUUGUGACAUUAUAUAACAGUUUAGUUAGGCCACACCUCGAGUACGCCAAUCAAGUGUGGGCACCACACUUGAAGAAGCAAACAGACCUGAUAGAGAAUGCCCAGCGUCGUGCUAGAAAACUGGCCCCUGGAUUACACGAGUUACCGUACGAAGAAAGACUGAGAGCUCUAAAACUACCAAGCCUGUCAUAUAGAUGUAUUUUUGGAGACAUAAUAGAGACAUUUAAGAUCAUGAAUGAGAAAUAUGAUUACAACCACAGAAAUAUGUUUACGCUACAUAGUGAAGUAGUGGCCGAACAAAUAACUAGAUGGCAUAAGCAAAAGCUAUAUAAAUUUAGACCAAACUACAAUUUAUAGAAACACAAAUUCACAUACAGAACUGUUGAUCUAUGGAAUAGCUUACCACCUAGUGUUAAAGACUCAAAAAUGUCAAUACAUUCGAACUGAUACUUGAUAAGUUCUGGAUGGAUCAAGAGAUAAAGUAUAAUUAUAAAUCCACCGUCGUGACAGGGCAAAGCAUCCGCCACAGUGACGAAAACGUAGAUCUGGUGUCACAGGAGUAAUCCUUCUCCCAGAAUCAACUAUGUAACUAUAUAGUCGUGCUCGCAUUGGUUCGAGUUCUCGAUCUCCAUGUGGUGACAGACAAGCGCCCAGUGGCCGCUACGCGCCGGAAGUUCCCAAGUCUGGUCCUCCAACUUCAUGUACUUUCCAAGGACGCUAAAUCGUGGUUGUAUAACGUCACCAUCCUUGACGAUAGUCGCGUCUGCUCCUGCACAUUGAACACCAUUACAUUUAAUUGAACCUUGCAUUUUGUAAGCUUGAUAAGUUCGUUGUGUACAAAGAUCGCUAAGGGAGGUUCCACUGUCCUUAGCUGAAUUGUAAACUUUCGCAAAUAAUAAUCAUAGCAAGAAAAAAUAUUAUUUAAAAAUUGCCUUUCGCAGGAUUCGAGCCGGGACUGCUGGAAAAAAAUCCAACACUCUACCGCUGGCCCAUUUAAGCUGUUGAAAUUACGCUCGUAUGAAAUCACACUCGUAUAAAAAUACACUCGUAGGAAAUUACACUCGUAGGAAAUUACACUCGUAUUUAAAUGUUAUGUUCGUAAUAGACGUAUUAUCCAGAUUAUCGAUGAAAACCUUCACAAACAAUUGUUUAUUUACCGGAUUUAAUUGAUGAAUCGUUAUUAUUUAUAAACAACCGGAUAUUUGUUUAAAGUUUUUUUUACUUAUUCUUGUCAGGAACGUUAUUCAGAAUGUUUGAACAUAUUAACAUUCUUCUCUAUAUCUAUGGCAUUCUUUGAAAUUUUUUAUUUUGACAAACAGUGAACAAGUUCCUCAACGCAAUAACAUUUGCUUAAAGCGGGUAUAUACGAUUUUGUCAAAUAUUAUGAAUUUAUAUAAAAUGUGUAAAAAACUAAUUUUAUAUAUAUUUCAAUAUAAAUUAAAAUAAAAGUUAAGAAGAACAUGUGUCGAAAAAUGCGAAAUAAGCCAGAUAUUUAAUUCUCAAAUUGAAAACGGCUGUACAGCCGAAUUCGCAAGCAUGUAUAUCAUACAUGUACAAUGUGAAUCUAAAUUUAGUUUAAUGGGUUAUUUGAAUUUCUGCAACGAUAUCUAUUCAUACGACACACGAACACUAACUCCAAUCCUAAUACAAAAACGAAUACUUCGGUUAUUGUAGGAAAAUAUGUUCGUCACAAUCGGCUCGGGCCGCUAAUUUGUCUUUGCUGCAUGUUAUGAAAUUUGGCUUUAAUGUAUAAUUUUUCUUGUCUAUUUUGCGUAAUUGUAACAUAUUUUAUCAAUAUAUUACAAAUAAACACAUAUACGAUCUUGUCAAAUAUUUAUUUAUUAAUAUAAAAUGUGUAAAAACUUAUUAUACAUAUAUUUCAAUAUAAACUAAAAUAAAAGUUAAAAAGAACAUGUGUCGAAAAAUGCUAAAUAAGCCAGAUAUUUAAUUCUGAAAUCGAAAAAGGCUGUACAGCCGAAUUCGCCAGCAUGUAUAUCAUGCAUGUACGAUGUGAAUCUAAAUUUAGUUUAACGGUUCAUUUGAAAUUCCUGCAGCGAUAUCGCUUCAUACGACACACGAACACUUACUAAAAAGACGAAUGCAUCGGUUAUUGUAGGAAAAUAAUUACGAAUUAUCUUCGUCACAAUCGGCUCGGGGCGCUAAUUUGUAUUUGCUGUAUUUUAUGAAAUUCGUCUUAAAUGUAUCAUUUUUCUUGCAUAUUGUGUGUUAUUAUAACAUAUUUGUAUCAAUAUUUUACAAUUCAGCACAUAUAAAAAUCGUAUAUACCCGCUUUAAAUAUCGUUGUUCAUCCGAAAACUUAACACGAGCUGGACAAAGGAAGCACUACCA